rnacentral:rRNA from 1 species
UACCUGGGCCCCUAGUGGUGACCGCUAUUAUUGGGUUUGAAGCGUUCGUAGCCGGUCUUGUAAGUCCCUAAUGAAAUUCGGCAGAUGACUGUCGAGAUUGUUGGGGAUACUGCAAGGCUUGAGACCGGGAGAGGUAGAGGGUAUUCUUGGGGUAAGGGUAAAAUCUUAUAAUCCCAAGAGGACCACCUGUGGCGAAGGCGCUCUACUAGAACGGAUCUGACGGUGAGGGACGAAAGCCAGGGGAGCAAACGGG